rnacentral:rRNA from 1 species
UACGUAGGUGGCAAGCGUUAUCCGGAAUUAUUGGGCGUAAAGAGCGCGCAGGUGGUUAAUUAAGUCUGAUGUGAAAGCCCACGGCUUAACCGUGGAGGGUCAUUGGAAACUGGUUGACUUGAGUGCAGAAGAGGGAAGUGGAAUUCCAUGUGUAGCGGUGAAAUGCGUAGGGAUAUGGAGGAACACCAGUGGCGAAGGCGGCUUCCUGGUCUGCAACUGACACUGAGGCGCGAAAGCGUGGGGAGCAAACAGG